GUAGGUGGCAAGCGUUGUCCGGAAUUAUUGGGCGUAAAGCGCGCGCAGGCGGUCCUUUAAGUCUGAUGUGAAAGCCCACGGCUCAACCGUGGAGGGUCAUUGGAAACUGGGGGACUUGAGUACAGAAGAGGAAAGCGGAAUUCCAAGUGUAGCGGUGAAAUGCGUAGAGACUUGGAGGAACACCAGUGGCGAAGGCGGCUUUCUGGUCUGUAACUGACGCUGAGGCGCGAAAGCGUGGGGAGCAAACAGGGAUCAGAUACCCUGGUAGUCCACGCCGUAAACGAUGAGUGCUAAGUGUUAGGGGGGUUUUCCGCCCCCCUUAGUGCUGCAGCUAACGCAUUAAGCACUCCGCCUGGGAUACGGCCGCAAGGCUG
rnacentral:rRNA from 1 species